rnacentral:tRNA from 3 species
UGGGGUAUCGCCAAGCGGUAAGGCACCGGAUUUUGAUACCGGCAUUCCCUGGUUCGAAUCCAGGUACCCCAGCCA